CGAAAUGCGAUAAGUAGUGUGAAUUGCAGAAUUCAGUGAAUCAUCGAAUCUUUGAACGCACAUUGCGCCCCUUGGUAUUCCAUGGGGCAUGCCUGUUCGAGCGUCAUUUGUACCCGCAAGCUCUGCUUGGUGUUGGGUGUUUGUCCCCGUCUCCGCGCGUGGACUCGCCCCAAAGUGAUUGGCAGCCGGCGUACUGGUCCCGGAGCGCAGCACAUGUCGCGCAAACGAGUGCCUUGGUACGGCGGCGUCCAUAAGCCCCUCUCUCACGCUCUUGACCUCGGAUCAGGUAGGGAUACCCGCUGAACUUAAGC
rnacentral:misc_RNA from 1 species